rnacentral:rRNA from 1 species
AUUGAACGCUGGCGGCAGGCCUAACACAUGCAAGUCGAGCGAGCGGCGGACGGGUGAGUAAUGUCUGGGAAACUGCCCGAUGGAGGGGGAUAACUACUGGAAACGGUAGCUAAUACCGCAUACUAUCGGAUGUGCCCAUAUGGGAUUAGCUAGUAGGUGGGGUAAUGGCUCACCUAGGCGACGAUCCCUAGCUGGGCUGAGAGGAUGAUCAGCCACACUGGAACUGAGAAACGGUCCAGACUCCUACGGGAGGCAGCAGUGGGGAAUAUUGCACAAUGGGCGCAAGCCUGAUGCAGCCAUGCCGCGUGUGUGAAGAAGGCCUUCGGGUUGUAAAGCACUUUCAGUCGGGAGGCGUUACCGACAGAAGAAGCACCGGCUAACUCCGUGCCAGCAGCCGCGGUAAUUC